ensembl:lncRNA
CCGAAGCAGCGCAAUCAUUUUUACGUAAUUAAUUUCAUUAUUCUUUUGGCCAAAUUUCAUAUACACAAAUGUAAAUUUACAAACAGAAAACCAAAUUUUCGUACCCUACAAAAAUAAAUUGAACUGUAUUUUAAGACGGUUAAAUGCUCUACUAACAAAAAAGCUGUUGGAAUUAGGAAGAUGAAGACAGAACCGUCAGAGACUCAAGACGGGAAUGACUCCCUGUUCAAUGGAACAGAUGCAUCACAGCUCAGCGUAAGAGGUGCCUCCCCUCCCUCCACUGAUGUUUUAAAGUCAAGUGAGGAGGAUGAAGAUGCACUUUCCUCUGCGACAAAAGCCAUAGAGACCAGAGCUUCAAAAAAGAGAAACAAAAAACAUCUCUGGCCCUAAAGCAGCAUAGAAACGGGGCAAAAGAAGGCCAUGCCUCUCUCCAUCCUCUCCCCCCUGGACACCCAGCCCUGCCAAAUCCAGAAAAAAAUGCUAAUCUAGCCACAUCUCUUAACAGUGGGUCAGCGAGGAGGAGUGAGGAUGAACCAGACCAAGAGCCUAAACUGUUCCCCCUCAAACCUGCCAGGACUCCAGGACACCAGCUAAACACUUCAAAGUACACCCCACUUGAGCUCUUCCAGCUGUUCUUCAGUAAUGACGUUGUUGAUACUCUGCUCAAAUACAAACAAGAAUGCCAAGAGAAGACAGGAACAGGGAUUUAAAGAACCAUGGAGAUCUGUAUCCAUGGAGGAAAUGUACAAAUACCUCAGCAUUGUAAUCUAUAUGGGUCUGCUGAAUGUGCACACUGUAUCAGACUACUGGGUCCCGAACAGGUUGUAUGGUAAUCCUUUUUGCUGUACAGUCAUGACCAUGACAAGAUUUUGGGCCAAUCACCUAUUCACUGCACUUGAGUGACCCAGCAGAGGGUGAGGAAAAUGACAAGAAGAAGGGCACUGCAGGGUACAAUCGGCUCAUGAGAAUCAAACCUCUCAAAGACCAGAUAUUGGAUGCAUGCAGGGACGUCUCCCAAUUCCAGAACCUUUCCAUUGACGAGUGCAUGGUGCACUCCAAGGCCCACCAAUGCCUCAAACAAUACAUGAAAUCCAAGCCCUACAGGCAUGGAUUCAAGGUCUAGUGUUUUAGCUGAUUCACGAAAUGGUUACACGUGCAACUUCAAUGUAUUUGUGGGCAAGAACCCAUCUGCUUCAGGAAAAGGGGAGUGCUAUGAUGCUUUCAUGAUCCUGUUGAAUGUCCCUUACUUGGGCACAGGGUACCACAUUUAUCUUUGAUAAAUAUUUCACCGGCGCAACUCUCUUCAGUGACCUGUACAAGAAGAAACUGGGAGCAUGUGAAAACCGUGUGGGCCUCUCUGGCAUCCAAGAGAACAGCAUUCCAUCCUAGAGCAAAGAGAGGAACCAUCCGCUGGCUUUGUGACGGGGAGCUGUUCUCCAAGUAGAUGGACGUAUGACCAGUCACCAUGUUCUGACAUUGCACUGAAAGGGGAUAUUCAAGAGGAGAGGGGGGAGGAGCAGGAUGAACAACAGAGUAAACAGUGAGUGGGAAAGCAGGGUGAAGAAGAAGAGGAGGCAGAAAAGGGUUCUGUCCUGUGCUCACUAAUGAUCCCAUCACUGUUGAGACAAGGGGUAAAGCUAGUGAGGGCAGGAGGGUCUAUCUUUUGUUCAUGAAAAAUACGAUUUGUCAGUGUGAGUCCAGCCAGGUGGCACUCUGCAUUAUACCAGUGGUGGAAAAAGUUCUAAAUUGUCAUACUAGAGUAAAAGUAAAGAUACCUUAAUAGAAAAUGACUCAAGUAAAAGUAAAAGUCCCCCAGUAAAAUACUACUUGAGUAAAAGUCUAAAAGUAUUUGGUUUUAAACAUACUUAAGUAUCAAAAGUAAAUGGAAUUGCUAAAUUGUAUUUAAGUAUCAAAAGUAAAAGUAUAAAUCAUUUCAACUUCCUUAUAUUCAGCAAACCAGACGGCACAAUUUUCUUGUUAUUUUUUUAUUUAUUUAUGAAUUUGUUAGGAAGAAUACUCUAUUGCCCUUGACGGAAUCAUUUUGCAAUUCUUUUAAAAUUAGCAACUUUGUAUUUAGUAUUUUGGACCUUUUUUCUCAUAAUUCUGAAAAUAUUGUUCACCGAUAUGCCUUGGGAUGGCCAUUUUGGACACUUCUCAGAUUGCCUGCUUUGGU